rnacentral:misc_RNA from 1 species
AACCAUAGAAACCUGCGGAGUACCUGCGGAAGGAUCAUUACCGAGUGCGGGUCCGCGUGGCCCAACCUCCCACCCGUGCCUAUUGUACCCUGUUGCUUCGGCGGGCCCGCCAGCCUUCGGGCUGGCCGCCGGGGGGCGUCUCGCCCCCGGGCCCGUGCCCGCCGGAGACCCCAACAUGAACCCUGUUCUGAAAGCUUGGUGUCUGAGUGUGAUUGUUUGCAAUCAGUUAAAACUUUUAAC